rnacentral:rRNA from 1 species
GACGAACGCUGGCGGCGUGCUUAACACAUGCAAGUCGAACGGAAAGGCCCUGCUUUUGUGGGGUGCUCGAGUGGCGAACGGGUGAGUAACACGUGAGUAACCUGCCCUUGACUUUGGGAUAACUUCAGGAAACUGGGGCUAAUACCGGAUAGGAUCUCCUGCUGCAUGGUGGGGGUUGGAAAUUUUCGGCGGUUGGGGAUGGACUCGCGGCUUAUCAGCUUGUUGGUGGGGUAGUGGCUUACCAAGGCUUUGACGGGUAGCCGGCCUGAGAGGGUGACCGGCCACAUUGGGACUGCGAUACGGCCCAGACUCCUACGGGAGGCAGCAGUGGGGAAUAUUGCACAAUGGGCGGAAGCCUGAUGAAGCAACGCCGCGUGCGGGAUGACGGCCUUCGGGUUGUAAACCGCUUUCGCCUGUGACGAAGCGUGAGUGACGGUAAUGGGUAAAGAAGCACCGGCUAACUACGUG